GUCAAUGAGUUUCAAUUUUAAAGUAUUUUAUCAGUGUUUGCAUUAUUUAGUCAAAUAACUGUAGUUAAGCCUAUAGCUUUACAGAAAUUUCAUUGUCUUUAGACACUCACAAGUUAUAUGUUGACAAAAACCCCAUACAAAUGAGCAACUAAUCAUCAAACUUGAUUGCUGCCGUGACUUUAGUAUAAGCAUUUAUUAUACAAAAUGUUUACAAAACUAUGAUCAAUUUUUUUUUGUAACACUAUUACUGUUAAAAGAACCACUGGCUGUUUUGCAUGUUGAUUGUUUACUGUAUAACUCUUAAGCCGAACCUAUUGAAGUAAAUAUAAAACAUAUCAUAAAUGAGAUUAUUCCAAAGAUAUUUUUAACCAUCAUCGAAUAUGGCAUUAGAUAGAAGAGUGCAAGUACUAAAAAUCUCAUUGACAUUUUUUUAAAUAAUAUGCUGGGUUUUUAUAUGUGUUUGACAUUUUAAAUAAUUGAUUUUACGAUACUAGCAUCAAUAAGAUUUCCAGAAG